rnacentral:rRNA from 1 species
GGGGAAUAUUGGACAAUGGGCGGAAGCCUGAUCCAGCAAUGCCGCGUGAGUGAUGAAGGCCUUCGGGUUGUAAAGCUCUUUUACCUGCGACGAUGAUGACGGUAGCAGGAGAAUAAGCCCCGGCUAACUUCGUGCCAGCAGCCGCGGUAAUACGAAGGGGGCUAGCGUUGUUCGGAAUUACUGGGCGUAAAGGGCGCGUAGGCGGCCCUGUCAGUCAAGCGUGAAAGCCCCGGGCUCAACCUGGGAAUUGCGCCUGAUACUGCAGGGCUUGAGGGUCGGAGAGGAUGGUGGAAUUCCCAGUGUAGAGGUGAAAUUCGUAGAUAUUGGGAAGAACACCGGUGGCGAAGGCGGCCAUCUGGACGACAUCUGACGCUGAGGCGCGAAAGCGUGGGGAGCAAACAGGA